ACCCUACAACUACACUUAGAAGAAAGGAAUCGAACCUCCAUCUAAGAAUCCAAAAUUCUUCGUAUGCCCACCAUACUA
rnacentral:tRNA from 1 species